rnacentral:misc_RNA from 1 species
GGGAAAGCUGAAAGUCCUGCAGUAGAUGCACUGAAAAAAAGCCCUCUGACUGUUAAAUCAAAAAAAGAUAAAGAAAGCUUUGGGAGAUUGAAGACUAAAUCCCUUUCUGCCUUGUCAGAUGUGAACAUAAACCUUUCUUCCUGUGGCUUACUCACAAAAGACUCACCAGAGGUUGGAUCCCUUUCACCCAAUGGUUUACCAAAGCGAAGGAAGAGAAAGA